GUGUCAGCAGCCGCGGUAAUACAGAGGUCCCAAGCGUUGUUCGGAUUCACUGGGCGUAAAGGGUGCGUAGGCGGUCGGGUAAGUCUAACGUGAAAUCUCCGAGCCUAACUCGGAAACUGCGUCGGAUACUAUUCGGCUAGAGGAAUGGAGGGGAGACUGGAAUUCUCGGUGUAGCAGUGAAAUGCGUAGAUAUCGAGAGGAACACCAGUGGCGAAGGCGAGUCUCUGGACAUUUCCUGACGCUGAGGCACGAAAGCCAGGGGAGCAAACGGGAUUAGAUACCCUCGUAGUCC
rnacentral:rRNA from 1 species